rnacentral:rRNA from 1 species
AAACCAACAGGGAUUGCCUCAGUAACGGCGAGUGAAGCGGCAAAAGCUCAAAUUUGAAAUCCCGCGGGAGUUGUAAUUUGAAGGUUUCGGGUUCUGAGGCUGUGCGCGCCCAAGUCCAUUGGAACAUGGCGCCUGGGAGGGUGAGAGCCCCGUCCGGCGCUGCGCAGUCUUUUUUUGCGACCCGUUUCCGACGAGUCGAGUUGUUUGGGAAUGCAGCUCAAAGUGGGUGGUAAAUUCCAUCUAAAGCUAAAUAUUGGCGAGAGACCGAUAGCGAACAAGUACAGUGAUGGAAAGAUGAAAAGCACUUUGAAAAGAGAGUGAAACAGUACGUGAAAUUGUUGAAAGGGAAGGGCUUGCAAGCAGACACGGUUUCGGCCGGGCCAGCAUCGGUUUGCCGGGGCGGACAAUGCGGCGGGAAUGUGGCGCGUCUCCUUGUGGGGCGCGUGUUUAUAGCCCGGCGUGAUACGCCCAUGGUAGACCGAGGCCUGCGAUCUAAUCUAGGAUGCUGGCGUAAUGGUUGCAAGCCGC